UACGGAGGAUCCAAGCGUUGUCCGGAUUUAUUGGGUUUAAAGGGUGCGUAGGCGGCCGAUUAAGUCUGGGGUGAAAGCCCGUUGCUCAACAACGGAACUGCCCUGGAAACUGGUCGGCUUGAGUACAGACGAGGGUGGCGGAAUGGAUGCUGUAGCGGUGAAAUGCAUAGAUAGCAUCCAGAACCCCGAUUGCGAAGGCAGACGU
rnacentral:rRNA from 1 species